CCUACGGGUGGCUGCAGUGAGGAAUAUUGGGCAAUGGGGGCAACCCUGACCCAGCCAUGCCGCGUGAGUGAAGAAGGUCUUCGGAUUGUAAAGCUCUUUCGGACGUGACGAUGAUGACGGUAGCGUCUAAAGAAGCACCGGCAAACUUCGUGCCAGCAGCCGCGGUAAUACGAAGGGUGCGAGCGUUGUUCGGAAUUACUGGGCGUAAAGGGAGUGUAGGCGGAUAUGUAAGAUAGCGGUGAAAUGCCGGGGCUCAACCCCGGAACUGCCAUUAUGACUAUGUAUCUAGAGUAAUGGAGAGGAUAGCGGAAUACCCAGUGUAGAGGUGAAAUUCGUAGAUAUAAGGAAGAACACCAGUGGCGGAGGCGGAUGACUGGACGGCAACUGACGGUGAGGCGCGAAAGCGUGGGGAGCAAACAGGAUUAGAUACCCCUGUAGUC
rnacentral:rRNA from 1 species